AGUGUCAGUAAAGCGUAGUGUUCAAUUUUUAUGUUUGGCUUGGUAAAACAAUUUGCUUCUAUUAUUUCCACAUUUUAAACAAAUUUUUACUAUAAUCAUGUCCGACGAUUUUAUACCUUUUAACCAGAGCACGCCUUUGCAAGGGAAAUGGCAAGACAGGAAACAAAACCAAAGUCAACCAAGAUAUCAAAAUAACCGAUUUCAGAACGGGAAUAGAAGAGGAAACAAUCAUAAUAACAGAUGGGGCAAUAAUUCCCAAAGGAAUAGUAGUUUCGGGAGUGACAGUAACAGCAGUUUUGGCAGAGAUAAAAGCAAUAUUGAUGCAUAUUUGCACCCUGCAAUGCUAAAAGACCCUUGGGAGCACCUUCGGCAAGCUAGUCAAUAAGUUUUAUUUAAUGACAAAGGAGGUAAACGAG
rnacentral:misc_RNA from 1 species